rfam:Fukomys damarensis contig95261, whole genome shotgun sequence.
AUCGCUUCUCAGCCUUUUGGCUAAGAUCAAGUGUAGAAACAGUUAACUGGCACUGAUACUUUACUCCUUACUCAAAAAAUUAAGUUAUUGACUGAAGAUUUGAUUUAAGAAAAGAAAGAUGGAACUAUUUAUCAAAUUGUUGGUAAGUUUUCCUGACUCUGUGCUGCCUUGCGUGGUGAGAAGGGAAUCAUAG